rnacentral:rRNA from 2 species
CCUGGCGGAAAUAGCAAGUGGGAACCACCCGAUCCCAUUCCGAACUCGGAAGUGAAACCACUGUGCGCCGAUGAUAGUGUGGGUUCGCCCAUGUGAAAGUAGGUCACCGCCAGGC